rnacentral:lncRNA from 1 species
GCGAUCAGAGGGCGCGGGCGGUUUCCCACCUGCUGCGGACCGCCGUGCGGGAGCCCAGAGAGCUCCGGCAGCUGGGUUAGGGCGCGACCCGCGCAGUGUGACUGGAAAUCUGGAGCUGGGGGCGCGCAGCAGGCGGUCUGGUGGUUCGGCAGGGGAGCCAAAUCCACCAGGGAAGGAAACAUCUGGUGGGGAGGCGGCGGCAGCUGCGCUCGGGAGGACGCCCCCUUAGCGCCCUCGGCUCCCUCCUUCCUGGGCCCGGACGGUCUCCUCCGGGCUGGGGCUGAGCAAGCCCUCGGAGUGACCGUGGGUGACAGCGGCUCCAGGGACUCUUGGGGCGCAGUGGGGAAAGUGCCGGACCACCAUGCCGCGCUCAUUUCUCGUCAAAAGCAAGAAGGCUCACAGCUACCACCAGCCGCGCUCCCCAGGACCAGACUAUUCCCUCCGUUUAGAGAAUGUACCGGCGCCUAGCCGAG